GAUUCCAAGGCAAAAUCUGGAGGGGUAAAAUUGGAAUGUAAUUUUCGGAUUUAAUAAUUAAAAAAAUAUAUAUUUUUUUUAGAUUUUCUCAAAAUAGAUAUAUUUUAGAUGCAUAUAGUUUCACACAAAGAUGCAUAAAGUUUUCACAUGAAAUGCAUAACUUUGAACAGAAAAAUGCAUUUAAUUUUUCCAAUUUUGGUAUUUUCACCACCCCACCCCAUACCACCCCCCAAUCCAGCC
rnacentral:lncRNA from 1 species